UUUAUGGAGAGUUUGAUCCUGGCUCAGGACGAACGCUGGCGGCGUGCCUAAUACAUGCAAGUCGAGCGGACCUUUGGGAGCUUGCUCCUAAAGGUUAGCGGCGGACGGGUGAGUAACACGUGGGCAACCUGCCCUAUAGUUGGGGAUAACUCCGGGAAACCGGAGCUAAUA
rnacentral:rRNA from 1 species